rnacentral:lncRNA from 1 species
CAACGAUGACGCGAGCCACGGUGGUGGCCACGGGCGCGAUGCAGUGGGUUGGUUCAACGCGAGGUCACACCCGCGGAGGCCGAGUCGGGGUCACCUCCGCAUCCGUGUUGCUGCAGAGUAACAAUACCAGACCUUAAUUAUGUAGCAGAAUUGCCCCUGGUGCAAUGAUUUAUCUAAUCUUCUCGUGUUUCGUUGUCUUCACGUGGUGACGUAUUGACAUAUCAAUUCCUUCCUUCGAUCAACACACCGAUUUGACCCGGAAAAUGCGCAGAACCUCGUAAACAGUUGCUCGAUCGUUCGUUUGGGUUUUCUGAGGACGCGUGUGUUGUAGAUUUCUUAUGUUUCUCUUGUCGAGGGAGGAAAAAUAAUCAACCAAUCUGAUUGUUCGGUGAUAACUUAGAUCUAUUCUUUA